UUUGUUUCCACACGUCUCACACGGUCACACCCCAUCUCCCAAAACAGAAUCUGACACACCGGUGACCGCCCGUCUCCUUCCCUGGGCGAGAAUGGAGUCUCCUCUGGUCGACAGGUCGGAGUCGGAGUCGGCGCCGCGGUCGCGCAGACCCAGCGCGGCGGAGAACAACCCUUCGCCCACCUCCUCCUCCGCUGCCUCUAGUGCCGGAGAUGCAGACGGCCGCGCCGCCGCCGACGACCACGAAGCGGUGGCUGACCGGCGUCUCGUCAGUAGCAGCAGGUUCGGCCACCUUGCCCUCCGCUGGUUCAGGGUCAUGAAGAGCCCGCGGCCAGCAACGAUUCAGCCGCCGGCAUUGACCGCGGCGCGCACACCGCGCGGACGCUGAACCCGCUCAACGCCGAUACCUUCGCCGCGGCCGCUGCCCAAUUCGCGGGCGAAGUGGCAGGCUCCCACUACGGUGCCGGUUCUCCCUCUGCAUCGACAUGAGGUUAAACGUCAGGUUAAGAUAGCUGAUCAGAGGACAUUUAUCUUUGGUUUAACGUUGAGCACCGCUAUUGCACUGUUCACCACCAUGAAGGUGGAGAGUGUCAUGUCCGCCGAAGUCGCAGCUUGGGUAGGUGGAGGCAGCGCAAUUGCUUGGUUGUGUGUUAAUGGGGGAUCAAUGUCAAUUUGUAUGGCCAAAGCAUCUUUGAGCAGCGAGCAGCUCAAAACUUGAGUCGUCUUGGAAUGAUGGGUUCAGCGCUCCUCUAUCCAUGUACGCAUGGUUCUUCCCUCACCUCCUGGGGCUAUUCUGGACACUUGUGGCACUGGCUGCUGCACUUCAUGGUGUUAUGUGGCUUCUGAGCUGCUUCCGGCAUGAUGAUGAUAGCACCGUCAGAUUGAGCGAGGAGGACCUGUGCAUGUGCCCGCGGUGCAAACCUUCAUGCACCUGCUGCAGCAACCGUGGAUCCGGGGCUCAUGCUGUUGAGUCCGUGUGAGUGCCAAGACAGUCUGACAAUAUAUAUAGCUACAGGUGCUCGUUCAAAAAUAUGGACCGAUUCGAUUGCUUCUGUCCAUCCCAAUUACACUGACAUGAUUCCAAAUUCAACCGACAUGAUGGUUCUGCGGUGGUGUUCUGAACAUCAUGGUCCAAAAUGACUGAUUGGCAUGAUGUAGGUAUCUUCUCUAGUUGGAGAAUGUCAGUUUUCUUAUCAGAAUAGAGGGAAACUAUUCAAGGACUAGCUUGGUUGCAUUGGUUGACAUGAUGGUAAGUACUCCCUCCGUUCCAGAUUAUAAGGUGUAUUGAUUACCGUGCAAGUCAACCAUUUGAAUGUUGGACCAAGAUUAUAGAAUUAAAAAAAAACAUCUGGAAUACCUAAUAGAUAAAAUAUGAAACUACUUGUCAUGAUGGAUCAAAUGAUAUAAAUUUCGUAUUGUGGAUACUGAUAAUUUUUUCUAAAAACCCGGUCAAACAUGGAAUAGUUUGACUUUUGAAAAAACAAAUACAACUUAUAUAAAGGAACGGAGGGAGUAAUAUACAAGGUGGUGUUUCGAGUAACCUAGUUGGAGAAUGCCCAGUUCCCUUGUAAAGGUCAGAGGAGAUCCAGUGACUGAAUCAGUUGGUUUGGUCAGUCCAAAUUGGAUUGACAUGAAUAUGUGGCAUUGUUUGGAACUUCUUGGUUGACCUGGAUAAUAUUUGGUUUUCUUGCAAUUGCAAGAAUCGGUUGAAUACUGCACGAGAUGAUUGAAGCGAAAGGAUAGUUCUGGUUUGUUCUAUGUUUGCUAUUUUAAUGAAAAGUAUACUUUUCGUCCCUCAACUCUUGGUGAAGUCUAGAUUUGGUCCCUCAACUUCAAAACCGGACAACUUGCACCCCCAACUACCGAAACUGGACGAGGUUCGUCCCUGGACUCGGUUUUGACCAGUUUUUGGUGUUGACUCACCCCGGUUUUUGAAAUUCAUAUUCCUAUAGUUUUUUUAAAAAUAAACAUAUUUUUUUUCAAAUCAGUGAACUAUUCUGAAAUUCGCGUACUUUUUCCAAAUCCGUGAUUUUUUAACAUUUACGUACUUUUUCCAAAUCCCCGUAUUUUCCCAAGUUUGUGUAAUUUUAUCAAAUCCAAGUAUUUUUCAAAGCCAUGAAUUGUUUCUGAAAUUCGCAUACUUAUUUCAAAUCCACAUGCUUUUCAAAGUCCGCAUUUUUUUUCAAAUCCAUGUUGCUUUUAUAAUCCAUGAACUUUGUAUGAAAUUCAUGUACUUGUUUCAAGUUGAAAUAAUUUUUGAAAUCCACAUAUUUUUGCGCAAAAGAAGUCCAUAUCAGCGUACUUUUUUCAAGUUCGCAUAAAAUUUUCAAAUUCAUGAACUCUUUCAGAAAAAUGUACUCGAAAGGUGCAUCAAUUUUAAAAAAUUAAAACUUAAAAAAAACUAAAUGAACUUUUAAAAAAUAUGCAUAUUUGAAAAAAUACAUGAACUUGGAAAAAAGUACGCCGAUUUAAAAAAAGGUACGCAAAAUUUAAAAAGGUUCACGUAUUUGAAAAAAGUAACCGAAUUUGAAAACAGUACGUGGACUUGGAAAAGGUAGGCAAAUUUGAGUCGGAACGGUCAAAACCGGGGCACCAAAACCGGUCAAAACCGUGACCAGGAAUGAAUCUUGUCCGGUUUGAAAAGUUAAGGGUGCAAGUUGUCCGGUUUUGGAGUUGAGGGACCAAAUCUAGACUCCGCCAAGAAUUGAGGGACGAAAAGUAUACUUUUCUCUAAUUAAUUUUAGGUCCAGUUAUAUGCACAUUUCUAGCUGCCUAUACAUUAUACACAGAUUGCAGUCAUAUGUCAUUUGUGAUACUGAACAGAUUGCAGUCAUAUGCACAUUUCUAGCUGCCUAUACAUUAUACACUUUCCUUCUUUCUUUUGAAAAAACAACUUGCAUGACCAAAGCAUGAUACAAGAAAGGAGUGUUGUAAGUAUCAAUAGUAACAUAUAAAGCUGAACAGAUCACCUGUGUUUGUAUUUAUUACAGAAGUAACACCACACGCUAGCUAAUGUUCCUGUUUAUUUUCAUGCCCUUUCAAAAUGAUGGCAAAAACACUAAAAGAUAACCUGUAUCAUCAUCUCCUGUCUUA